AUCAUCAGUUUGUAUUGUUACCUUAGGUAUUUAUAUGCUGUAUAACUUCACCUUUUUUUAAGGCCACUUGCUGUUUGCUGAUCAAUAGGGCCCUGAACAGUUAAGCCACGUGAGCACACACACUCUGUGUGUCGAAGGGCGUGCCGUGACGUGGACAGAAAAGCACAGCACAGUUGCUUCACCCCACAAUUUUGGCCGAUCUUUCGGUGGCAUGACAUGGAGCUAAUUAAAAUACAGUAGUACUAGUAAAAAUGUGUUUGCAGACUCGCAGGCAAGCGAGUGACACAAAUACAAGUACCAACACAACUUCACGCACCCUGC
rnacentral:lncRNA from 1 species